rnacentral:rRNA from 1 species
AGAGUUUGAUCCUGGCUCAAAUUGAACGCUGGCGGCAGGCUUAACACAUGCAAGUCGAGCGCGAAAAUACUUUCGGGUAUGAGUAGAGCGGCGGACGGGUGAGUAACGCGUAGGAAUCUACCCAGUAGUGGGGGACAACUUGGGGAAACCCAAGCUAAUACCGCAUACGCCCCAUGGGGGAAAGCGAGGGACCUUCGGGCCUCGUGCUAUUGGAUGAGCCUGCGUAAGAUUAGCUAGUUGGUGGGGUAAAGGCCCACCAAGGCGACGAUCUUUAGCUGGUCUGAGAGGAUGAUCAGCCACACUGGGACUGAGACACGGCCCAGACUCCUACGGGAGGCAGCAGUGGGGAAUAUUGCGCAAUGGAGGCAACUCUGACGCAGCCAUGCCGCGUGUGUGAAGAAGGCCUUAGGGUUGUAAAGCACUUUCAAUUGGGAAGAAAAGUUCAUCGUUAAUAGCGGUGAGCCCUGACAUUACCUUUAAAAGAAGCACCGGCUAAAUCCGUGCCAGCAGCCGCGGUAAUA